GGCAGUUCUCAGAUGACACAACUUGGAAUCAGGCUCCCUCCUUUCUGGUUCCGGGUGCAUCACCCUAGAACCACA
rfam:Myotis lucifugus cont2.26681, whole genome shotgun sequence.